GUGCCAGCCGCCGCGGUAAUACCGGCAGCCCGAGUGAUGGCCGAUAUUAUUGGGCCUAAAGCGUCCGUAGCUGGCCGAACAAGUCCGUCGGGAAAUCCACGUGCUUAACGCGUGGGCGACCGGCGGAAACUGUUCAGCUUGGGGCCGGAGGACCCGAGGGGUACGUCCGGGGUAGGAGUGAAAUCCUGUAAUCCUGGACGGACCGCCGGUGGCGAAAGCGCCUCGGGAGGACGGACCCGACAGUGAGGGACGAAAGCCAGGGCCUCGAACCGGAUUAGAAACCCCGGAGUCC
rnacentral:rRNA from 1 species